rnacentral:piRNA from 1 species
UGAUAGCUAACACGGCUUUCUGCCUCGC